AGCAAAUUCUAUCAGCAGUAGCACAGCUAUACACAGCAAAAGUCUUCAGAAAGAUUGAUACCACCUCCAAGCUUUUUGGGCACGGCAGCAAAAGGACAAGCAAAAAAGACCAGGCGUCUCUUCUUCCAGCUCUUCCAGUGUGAUAUCCAGGCAUUCCCAGGCCAGUCGGGAGAUAUAAUUCCUUCAGUGGGUCCUGGGUCAACCAUGGGACCUCUUCCCAGUUGGCCAUCCUUUUCAGAUGCCUGAACCACCUCAGCUGGCUUCUCUCCACGGGAAGGAGCAACAUUUCUACUCCAAACUCCUCCAGUAUUGCUGAGCUCCUUGCCCGAUCACAAAGAGCUACAGCAGCAUGGCUACAUAGACACACAGUGUGUAUGCUUUUGAGUGGCCUGCCUGCAGUCCAUAUCUGUCUUUUAUAGAAAACAUCUGGCACAUCAAGAAGAGAAGAAUCAGACAACAGCAACCACAGACUGUUGAACAGAUGUUGUCUUGUAUCAAGCAAAUGUGAAGUCCCUGUUCAGGAGUGGAUCCCACCAGUGAUGACCGGUACCGUUAUGGAACCUUUGUGAUGGAUCCCACUGGAGCAGGAUGAAAGACAAGAACACACACAGAAGACAUCAAUAAUGCACAUGUUCAGUGUCACCAUGACAACGCUAAAAAAGAGAUGGGUGAAAAGGGGUUGUUUAAGGCAGUCUUAAAGUAGGCACAUAGUCUGCUAGAUGUCAUAAAUAAACAUGAGGGUAUGGACCACUUUGGAAUCAAAGCUGAAUGCUAGUGGAUGCUUUUAGCCUAAGCUUUUAGCUUACGGCAUAGUCAAUCCAGAGUUUGAAUUAUAGUUUUAAAAGUGUCUUGGGGAUUGGUUGGAGGGAGGUUUGGGGUUACUUGAUAAAGAACAUUUAUGGCAGGCAGGGGGCAUGGAGACGCAGAAGAUUGACAGGUUAGUCCCUCACAAUUACUUAGAUAUAGAGAUGUUGGUGCCUCUAAUGAAAACCUGCAUUCCUUUGGAACCAUGACGAUUCAGCCAGCAGGACAUUUUGGCCAUCAUGAUAAUAAUAAUAAUAAUAAUACAUUUUAUUUAUAUAGCGCUUUUCAAGAUACUCAAAGACGCUUUACAUAAGACAAAUAAUCAAAACAAAUACAUACACCAUACAAAUCAUAGUACAAAAUCAAAAUAGUACAUCAACAUCAAGAAUAAUUAAGAUAAAAACAAAGAGAGCAGCAUAAGACAGUUCAUUAAAAAUUAGCUAAAUUAUGAGAGAGAACAACAAAUAUAGAACAAUUUCUUAAAAUUAGACAGAAACAGGACAGAUUCACAUGCAAUCAGGAAACUGAAAACUUUACAAGUUUUAGGAUCUAGGACUUCACAUUUCUGUCGUGAUCUAAGUAUAAAAACUAUUAAAAAGAAUAGCAAAAAUAAAAGCAUUUAUUUCGUGUUGUUAC